CGACGCUGGCGGCGUGCUUAACACAUGCACGUCGAACGCCGAUGCCCCGGAUUCGUUCGGGGGUAUUAGUGGCGAACGGGUGAGUUACACGUGAGUAACCUGCCCUUGACUCUGGGAUAAGCCUGGGAAACCGGGUCUAAUACCGGAUACGACCUCCUGGUGCAUGCCAUGGCGGUGGAAAGAUUUAUCGGUUUUGGAUGGACUCGCGGCCUAUCAGCUGGUUGGUUGGGGUAAUGGCCCACCAAGGCGACGACGGGUAGCCGGCCUGAGAGGGUGACCGGCCACACUGGGACUGAGACACGGCCCAGACUCCUACGGGAGGCAGCAGUGGGGAAUAUUGCACAAUGGGCGCAAGCCUGAUGCAGCGACGCCGCGUGAGGGAUGACGGCCUUCGGGUUGUAAACCUCUUUCAGCAGGGAAGAAGCGCAAGUGACGGUACCUGCAGAAGAAGCGCC
rnacentral:rRNA from 1 species